GCCAGCCGCGAAACCCCCGGCGAGCCAGGCCCUACAGCGGCCCGGGAGACCGCGGCGGCCGGAAGUGAGGGGACGUCACUUCCGAGCGGUGCAGUGGCGGCCGCUAGGAAGAUGGCUGCGCCCUGUGGCUCGGAGCGGCCCGCCAACUCGCCCCUUAAAAUCCCGAAGAUGGAGGUGCUCUCCCCUGCCUCUCCUGGUGGCCUGAGCGACGGAAACCCUUCGCUAUCCGACCCUUCCACGCCUCGGGGAGCCUCCCCGCUCGGGCCGGGCAGUGCAGCGGGCUCGGGGGCAGCGCCGUCAGGGGGUCUCGGGCUGGGGCUUGGGGGGCGCAGCGCCGCCUCGUCCUGGGGAGCCCCGGCCGCCGCCUGCCGCGGCAUGUCGUGGACACCGGCCGAGACCAACGCGCUCAUCGCUGUGUGGGGAAACGAGCGGCUGGUGGAGGCACGGUACCAGCAGCUGGAGGGAGCCGGCACGGUAUUCGGCAGCAAGGCCCCCGGGCCGGCCAUGUACGAGCGCGUGUCCCGGGCCCUGGCCGAGCUGGGCUACGAGCGGACCCCGUCCCAGUGCCGGGAGCGCAUCAAGCUGGUUCGAUGCCCAGAACUGAACGCUGUGCUCCAGCUGUGGCCUCACCGGUGCUGAAUAGAGAGGAAGAGCCACCUUCAUAGCUUACAUGUGAUUCCUCUGCUUACACAACCCAAUGCUGGAUGUACUUACUUGGGCAAGAUAGCUGCAUCGUGCACUGUAUUCGAUGUUACGUGUGCUGUGACCCUGGGUCUUUCUCUGCAUCGCUGCCGUCCAACCCCGUCCUGCCCCUCUCCAGUUCCCGCCUCUGUUCACCCGUCCCCCCCUCCCCACCCCUGUAGACUCCCCUCACACUCAUCCACAGUGAAUGUCAUCUUUAUUCUCUCGUUUCUCUUCACUCUAAUCUGGCUCUUUGGCAAACUUUCCCCCUGUCUCUACAUUGUCAGUUGUCAGCCCUCUUACUUUCCCCCCGCUUUGGUAAUGGGGCACCCUUCAGGUCUUCUCGUGGGCCCUUUUCCCCUUGUCGCUGUUGGACAUCUGGUGCGGUGGGUUCAGUCGGCAUUCCCCUGGCACUUCUUCCCAAUCAGAUGCCCAUGAACUCCUGAUUUGACUGCCUGAUCAAGUCGUUACCGACACUUGAGUUCCUCUGUCCAGAUUUUCUUGACUCCCCCGACCUCUGUCCCAGUGACCUCAUCCCAGGUGCAGCCUCUCCCCCAGCUCUUCCCCUGGGUGGAGACAGUCCCCUUGUUUCACCGCGGGAACUUCUAACAACAAGGGAAGUGUCCUUAGUUGUGAAUAGAAUAGUCUUUAAUAAUUUUAAGCAAAUUCUUUCUCCCCCCCUUUUUAAAUGCUAGAGCUUGAAGUACUGUAUGUUUCUAAGGUGAGUCAGGUAAAGGAAGAAGGAAGGGAGCGAGGCUUUUGUGCUGAGCAGGAAAUAAGAUGUGGUUCUCCAGGAAAAGCGACACUGAGGCCCCUGUGGGGCGUGGUGAAGCUGUCUGCAGGGGGAGGUGAGACUCGUUUUUCCUGGGUUCUGGAGCCUUCUCUGAAUUCUGAGUCAGGGUGGAUUUUUAAGUCGGUUUAUUUAGGACUGUUGACACGGACACACAGUCGCUGACAUGUAUGCUUCGGUGAGUCAUUCCUCGGGUGGAAGGUGUGACUUGUCUGAUGAUGAGAAUUGGAAGGUCCACGUAUGUCCUUUUUAUCCGUUCCUGAAGCCCCUCAGGGUCAGCUGAAUCCUGGUGUUUCUUACAGUAGCGGUCCAGCGGAUGUCCAGGUUCUUACUCCUUUUCCUCCCUUAGGGGAUGUGUCCUGUUGAAGCAGCCUCUCCUUGGCUCUGCAGUCUUUACUGAAGCCCGAAGCUACCGCCCGUGUGUUCGUGUCCCGAGAGCAUUAACAUCGGUUUGGCAGUCUUUCUAACACCGCUUCAGUGCAUCCCGUUUUGUCGCAAUGAGUUAGGGUUACCAAACAUUUUUCCCUCAGACCUGUGCUACACGUUGUACACAUCAGCAUGUUAACUGUCCAAGUGCACUACCAAGCACACUACAAAGUGAGAAUGUAAUAUAUAUCAUUUGACUCUUAUCUAAAGCUAUUUGAUAUUCCCAUUUUCUUACUCGCAAUUACAUAAGCCAAGUGAAAACUGAAACUCGGUUUGGUGGUUUCAGAGAAGGGAAACCUUUCCGGUGGUUUCCCACUGCGUUGUCAGAGGUCUGUGGCUUUGUUUACGUCUGCUCACAUCCUGAUAAGGGGAAGCACCUUUCUUCAAGGGGCCAGGAGUCGUAUUUCCUGACAUAGGGUUGACGUGACCCUCGGUGACAGAGCCGACUGGGCCCUUUGCUGCUGGAGGCCUCUCUCCGGGCAGCCGUCGGCGGUGGCUCGGCUUCCAUCUCCAUGUAUGGCCUCGGGAGGGCGGAAGGGACACAGCUGGGCCUCUCCAUUUACGGUCCCCGGAGGAGUCGAAAAGAGUGGUUGGGGUGUUCUUGGAGGCAGCAAGUAGACAUGGUGAGAUAAAAAUAAAUGGGCAGAUGUUUGCAAUUCCAAUUCCAGUCUCUGCCGGGAGGGCAGAGGGUGCCGGGAUGGGGGUGUGGAGGGAGCCUGCUGAGCUCCACUCCAGGCCUCUGUCUCCCUCCAUUGAAGGCUGCCCAGGACACAUUCAAGUUCAUUUGUUCUAGAAAGUCUUGUGUUGCGUACUUGUGACUCUCCUUUACAAAGACAAGGAAGGAGCCCCUUUCAAGAGUGUGUUUGCAGAAACCCCAGUUCCUCAAGGCGUCCCUGGAGGCACCAGAAGAGAGCUGGAGAGGGAGAAUGGCGAGGGCACUUCCCUGGCAGGGGGAGGCCGGCUGGGCCCGGGGUCAGGGGCCACCAGGCACUGCUCUGUUGGUGUCAGAGGACACUGUCGUCGCAUGUGUCCUGCUCUUAUUGUUCCCUUUGCCCGUGUGGAUUUCCAGCAUCGAGGGAAGUGUUGUAUAGUGUCUUGUGGUUUGUCAGCUGUGAUGUGAAGAUGCUGAAUUUUCAUGGAGGCUCCGUAAAGGACUCUUGAGUCAGUGUGGGGAGAGCAGGUGACAUUCUGGCUUACAUCAUGGAAAGUAAUCUCGUGUCUAGGAGGAACGUCGGGUCUGGCUAAGGCGUCUGCGGGAAGCCAGAGGUGAAGCGGUCUUGUGCAGGUGUGACGGGGAGUGUUCGGGGGCCCCCAGAGGAAAAGGGCUUCCUCGUCUGGGGAAGUUCUCAGAGUGAAACCCAGGGAAGCAGAAGGGACAACGGGAGGCACAGGUGGGACAAGGAGGGACUGCAACUGAACUACUUUUGGAAGCUGGAACUAAGUCCUUGAUUUGUCUUUUGCAGAAUCAUGUAAGAUAGCGUAAGAUGAAUUAUUAAAGCAAGGACACUGGGCCAAUAAUAAGAAACAUGGCUUAGAAGACCACGAAGACAAUCGAAGGUUGUAUGUGGACUUGCAUAAUGAUAUUCAUUGGCUGUGCACUACAAGGUAGAAAAACAAGUAAAAUAACACCCCCACACCUGACUUUCAUCCCCCAGAAGGAAUGAUCAGCCUCGUUUGUUGGUUUGUUUAGCUGGCAGUGUUAUUUUUUUUUUUUAAGAUGUAGGCAUCGGUGUGUUGUUUCUCAUUGAUCCCUGAGACUCAGAGUCUGCAGCAUCAUUUACUUGACUUCUUUGAAAUUUUAGCAGCUUCCCAAAGGCAGAGGGAGUUAGUAAGGAAUAUGGACUGUGUGAGAAAUAUGUUCUACUGGUGGUUUUGUGCAGGCGUUUGUUCUCACCCUGUAUUCUUUCUCAAUGAAGAGUGAGGAAGGGCUUCCUCUUUGCUUUGGGAAAUUCUUCUUUCUGUCCUCCCUCCCUCACUUUCCCCCGAACUCCGGCACAGUAGCAGCUCUCUCUCUUCUGUGGCAGGCGUGCAUCCUAUUGGCUGGCUGGUAUUUCUUGUUUCCUUUUUUUUCCCCUUAUUCUUUUUAAGUGGGGGAGGGGUAUAAAAUAUGUGUAUGGGGUACAUGCAAUAAUGUUGUUUUGGUUAUUGUUUAAUGGAUUAUUAAUUGUAAAAUAAUUGUUUUUGAAUUAUAACAUGUUUGAGUAAAUGCUAAAUUAGUAUUUUUUUCUAAUAUAAUAAUGAAUUUGAAAUCUAGCAUUCCUGUAACAAUGUGUCUGUGUUUGUCUGUCUGUGUCUGUCUAAUAGUAAUUAAUAUCUGUGGUCCGUACCUGGAAGAGGAAGUACAGCUUUAAAGGAAUAACAAAAGACUUUGUGUCUUAGACCCUUCGCAGGUGUUACAGUCGGGUGAAAGAACAUGGUGUUGGGAAAAGAAAGAGCAGUUACACAUUUGAACAGUUGGAACAGGUGUUUGGUCAGGGAGGAUGGGAUGCUCAGCCCUGCCAGCCUGUACUUAUUAACAGUAGUGGCUUGUACCAGGAGCUGGAGUCAGAUGGCAGCACUAUGGAGGAGUAUUCACAGGAGGACUGGGGAAACCACAGUCAGGAUCUCCAUGGCUACCCAACAGAGCAGGAAUUGGAUGAAAUACCUGUCACAAAGAGAACGUUAAAAAUAAAACAGGAGUCUUCUGAAGAAGCACAGAAGAGAGACAUCAUGCAGAAUAUUGUCCAGAUUUUGGAAUCAGUGCAGUUGAAAUGGGAACUGUUUCAGAGCUGGACAGACUUCUCAAGGCUUCAUCUUUCUAACAAACUGGCCAUUUUUGGGAUUGGUUACAACACCCGUUGGAAAGAGGAUAUCCGCUACCAUUACGCCGAGAUCAGCUCCCAGGUGCCACUCGGCAAACGGCUCCGCGAGUACUUCAACUCCGAGAAGCCCGAGGGGCGGAUCAUUAUGACCCGAGUGCAGAAGAUGAACUGGAAGAACGUUUACUACAAGUUUUUAGAGAUCACAAUUAGUGAGGCGAGGUGUCUGGAGCUGCACAUGGAAAUUGACUGGAUACCCAUUGCCCACUCCAAACCAACCGGUGGGAACGUUGUUCAGUAUUUAUUACCGGGAGGCAUUCCCAAAAGCCCAGGCCUCUAUGCCAUUGGCUAUGAAGAAUGUAUGGAAAGGCCCUCCUCACCCCACAUGGAGCAGAGUUCCCUGGACCCGGGAAAGGAGGGCAGGGUUGACUUGGAGACCCUUUCGGCACAAGCCUCGUUGCAGGUGGAAAUAGAACCCACCCGAAUCGUCUACUGCUACCUCGGGAUUGCUGAGGUCAGGACUCUGCAGCAAUGCUUAUUUCUACAUUUCCAAGCCAAUACCAAAACCUUCAGCAAAGAUUGGGUUGGUAUUAAUGGGUUUCUGUCUCAGAACUGCAUUGUGGAUCCUGGCGUCUCCCCCAAAUCUAUCUACAUCAAGUUUGUGGAAGUAGAGAGGGAUUUUCUUUCCGCUGGCUCUUUAGUUGAGUGCCUGGAAAAAGCCAUCGGGUAUCCCUUAAAAUUUAACAACUGAAUGUCAUCCUUCAUAAGGAUUUGGGCUCUUACCUCUCUCCUCUCACUUUCCGUUGCCCGACUGCCCCGCCCAGAUGCUGCCGUCAGACUCUCCAUGGAAACGCGUUCCACCACUGGGCCAGCCCGCCUCCUAAGGAAUCACAGUGGACUCUGAGCAAACAAAACAGACCUCACCUGAACAUGCUCGUUUUGAGCAAACGGGAUUUACAACGAACUUGCAUGGUGGGUCAGCUGUUUCUUUUUUAAAAACAAAAAAUUUUAAAUGGAUGUUAGAGCCCUAAUAUAAACAAAUGUAGGUACAUUCCAUAUUGGACAAAACUUAUACUUUCAGUUUCAUAUGAAAUUGAAAAAUUGUAUUUUUUUCACAAUGUUUCAUUUUUACACAUCUCUAUGUCUCUAUAUAAGUAUUAUUUACAACCCUGAAUAAAUAAGCAAUAGAUAAUGGCAAGUUAAAUCUUGAGUCACAGUAAAUAAGACUGUUUUUCAAUAUCACCUUUAGCUACUAUUGUAUAUAAUUUAGUUUCAUUUUUUUCACCAGCCAAGUGUUUUGCUAUUCCCAAUCAGUGUUGCCUGCAACGUUUCUGUGAUGUACCCCCUUUACGGUUGUGUUGCCGUUUAAACAUUUUUUUAAAAAAUUAAAGUUAUUCCUGGCCUCUUG